UCUUGCUGACACAACUGGUUGAAUGAUUCAUCUUUUUCUCCUGUUCCAGUCACCUCAUAAAAAAUAAUGAUAACUCGUAGAUUGUUCACGUUGUUCAUCUUUGCAUCGGUUUAUCAUGAGUGUUGUGGAGAAGAGAGUGUUUAUCAGCCAGAAAAGCACAUCGCUGAAUUUGAAGGAAGAUCAGUAAAAAUACAAUGCAAAUAUAAAACAGCUUCAUCACAACCAGAUCUUUUCUGGUACAUCCAGAGAGCAAAUGACCUUCCUAAAUACUUCUUGAGGAGAAACAAAUAUGGAGGAGAAGAUACUGACCCUCAGUUUCAGGAGAGAUUUCACUCUAAAGUGUCAUCAGAAUCUGUUGAUCUGUCAAUCCAGGAUGUGAGUGUGUCAGACUCUGCUGUGUAUUACUGUGCUCUGAGGCCCACUGUGACUCAAACACACUCAACACUCAUACAAAAAACAGAGGAAGUGCUCAAUUAUAUGCCAAAGUGCAAAUCCACAUGCUGUUGAAUU